ensembl:lncRNA
AUUAAGACAACUGAAAUAUUAUCUAUAUAUUAUCUAACUAUCUUUAUAUGCGAUUAUUAUUAUUUUUUUUACCUGAUUCUCUUUGGUGGCGAAUAUCAAAAUUGUAAAUGCACACUGUCCAAAAAGCUUGAGUGUAAAUUUUUGGAGACAUGUCUCCUAAACCUGGUAUUUUCCCAACCAUUAAGCCUACAGGAACGGUUAGUUAGCUGCAAUAGCUAGCUACAUACGUCAUAAAGACGAUUUAGCUGAAAAUCUAGGGAACCCUUAGUCAGCAACACCAGCUUGCUACCUAAGUCAUAAUGACGACUCAGCAGAAAAUAUAGCUUACGUAAUGGAGGACUACCGCUCAGCCAAUCAGGGCACACCUGUUCCUAUAUAAGUGAGUGCACCCUUCUUCAUUCUGACUCAGUGCCUCAGGUGUUGCGUCUCACGUGGGAUUUGGUGGUAUGGGUUUGAUAGGCGUGGAUUCGGCUGAGACCUGGGUCUCCGACUGUUCAGCCCCCAGAUGUAUUGUCUCUUGGUUGUAAUACGCUGCGGCGAUUUUUACUUUUCCAUAAAAUACAUUUUGUGUCUCAGCCCCUUGCGACUGAGUCUGUGGUGCCACUCCCGUUUCCUGAUAGGAAUAGCUUAGCCCUUCCUCUAGUGGCUUGUGUCGCGCUGGUUAGAACUCUGUUGCCGCUCAGGCCUCAUUGGAUAUGAGCAGCGGCAUAUGUGAAGAGACUCAUGUCUAUCACUUGCCCUGUAGGGUUAGGAACUAACGCCGGUGUCACCAUGCUGUCGUUCUCUUUUAGAAAGAGUAACGAGAUCAAGGGCGCGUACGAUAUUGUCUACUGUUCAGGACAUUGUGUCUACAACUGCCUCGGUUCACAUCUGUUCGACUGGGAAAGAGAACCCCGUGUAUAGGGCUAUACAGUUGCCAUCGCGGCUUCCGGUGUUGGCUCAGAGUUUUCGUCGCCGGUGUGGGUUCGCAGGGGUCUCGUCGAGGGAAUUGGCUUUGACCGGGCUGUGUGCGUUCUUCUAUUACAGAACCCUCCCGAAUACGGAAUGACAUCGCGCUUCCGUCCUCUGUGAUUCUCGUGUGGCUGAUGCGAUCACUGCUAGCCCUUCCUUAAAAUAGUUUAGUCCUUCCUCUGGUGAUUCGUAUCGCGCGGGUUUUGACUAACGGUGGAUGUCCACUGGUCCCGCGGAUACAAAUAAUUGUCUAUGAACAGCAUCAUGGCUUUAUUGACGGUUGCGCAAAGCAUCUCGGGAAGGUAACGCGGCCGUUUGAGCCAUAUUAUGUCUAUGGUUUGAGCUGUCUAUUCGCCUUAUUCACCCACGUCACUUCAUUUAAACCAAAACGAGGCUGUGGGGUACGGAAGUAACGUUGUCUCGCCCAUCUGUAGACUAUAAAUCCUAUACAGGUCAAACCUUCCAUCGUUUCCCCAAAGAUCAUGUACUUUGCCGUGAAUGGAUUUAUAAAAUAAGAAGAGAUCCCGGUCGCCAUUUCAAGGUAAGAUAUUAACAUUAGUUUACAAUGCUAACAUUAGCCUUAUUUACGUUAACUGUCAUAGAGAUAGCUAGCUAAACCUUCUGGCUAAAUAGACAUGACUUGAUUAGCCACGAACCGGUCCUUUUUAAGUUAUAACAAGCGAAGGGCUGAUUUGGGGGUAACGUUAAGCAAGUUGUUGCUCUUUUUACUAGCCUGGGCAGCUAACGUCCUGCAGCCGUGACUUACAGCAAAAUAUAAACAAGUGAUCUGUGCAUGUUUAUGAUAAUAACCAUCUAGACCAUGUUACGCACACAACUACUAUAAACAGUAACAUCCAUUUUACUGGGUUUGUGCAUCCCAGUAGACGACAUUACUGAUUCGUUUUUAGCAUCUGUGUUACCUGUGAGACCUGAAUAGUACCUUCUCCAACCCUACGUAACAUCCCUCCGUAACAUCGCUAUCACGUCCUGUUGUUUUAUCUAGCUAACAAGCUAACUUUAAAAGUAACGUUAACUAAUGUUGAUUUCAGAAAAAAAGCUGUGAUCGUCUGUGCAUUACCUUCCACGUCGUGCACAUAUCCCUCAAACCAGUUGCUGUAUCAUUUUAGCAAAACAGCCCGGGGAAUAAUGCAGUCCUUAUUGGCCCAUUUUUCGACAUAGUCCACUGUUAUUUCGGGAAGACAUGAAAGAUUUGAUGUCCACACAGGUAUCAUGAUGACAGACGCCCGCUGCUGCGCUCUGUCAAUGAACUUCCGGUUUAGAGUGUACCCCCUAGCCUCGUUUUGGAUUUCAAGAUGGACGGUGAAUAAGGUCAAUAAGCAGCCAUUGUUUCUGUCAUUUAUGGUGUUUGGACAUGUGAAUUUUUUUUUUUGAGUUUUUUUAUUAGGUUUUUCCGGCGCCUGGCAUUUUCAUUCGGAGACGGAUGCGCGGCCUGCCGGGCUGGUUGGAGGUAGAUGGCCGUGGUAACGUAUGGAAGUUGCUGAAGGCCUAAUGAGAAGUUUUUUGGAAGGCGUAGGCUACGGUACACAGGAACACGCAGGAACGCUGGACCGCCUGGGGGAGGGGUGCGGACGGUCAGACAGGAGACGCUCCAGAGGGAGCAUCGACCGGUGAGAUCAUUCCUUAAUACAGCUUUCAUAUGCUUUAGUAUGUGGUUGGUUUUUGUAUGUCAGAUUUGAUGGUUUUGUGGAAGUUGAUAGAUGGAUUUGAGAAAGUAUGGUAAAUGGAAGUUAUUUGAGGUGUUUUGGUUAUAGCGCCUGUAGUUAGGAAAAUAACCAUUCCCAUGCAGCUACCCUAUUGUGUUGCGAUUAGUGCUGGAUCAUAAGCAGUUAGACUGCGGCGGUUGGACUGCGGCAGUUGGAUUGCGAUAUGGAGUAUAGCGUGCUCCUGUAUAUAAUGGUUUUGGAUGUUGAAUUGGGAAUAUGUUUGGUUGUGGUUGGCCUAGUAAAUGCACUUGUCCAUUUUGGUAUUCCCUGUGCACGAGGGAUCCGAUUGGCUGCAUUGAGUAUUCCUUGAGAGAAUAUUUGAUCUCGUUUACCGAGGUUGGUGUUAACUAGUAAGUUUUGUAAUCGCAAUGUUUUGUCUUGUUAGGUGUACAUUUGGGUGAACACUUACAUGCCGUUGUUAAUAUGGUUAUUAUGCAAGGCCUACUUUUUCGCCUUUUGCUUAGUGUGGUAUCUGCGAAAUUGAACUUUGCCUUCUAGUGUUGUGCUGGUGGCUGGCGUUCGCAUGCUAAUUUAGGAUUGUUUACGACAAUAUAGUCCUACAUUUAAUUAGAGGGUUAGCUUGGAAAUUGGUAUGAUGAUGAUUCUCUGAUGUAGUAAAAUAUGGUCUUGUGGUUUCGUAAUGAGGGGUUAAAAUAAUGUUUUCUCUCCGUGUAUGGAGUAGAAUGGCCGAAGUUUUUGAUAUUAAGAUAACAUGCUGUUUUCCAUGAAGACUGGAUUCAGCCAAUAUACUCAUAGCCUGCAAAAUAGGGUAAAAUGACCACAGCCUGUUUAUUCCCCGAAUAAAUAACCCAUAGGAUGUCCUAUUUUUUUAAAUGUUCAAUUGGAUUUGGUUAAUGAUUUACUGUCACUUUGUUUGUAUUUACAAUGAUACCUGGGAUAAUACUUGUGUUCUCAGACCUGUGCCUGAUGCUCGUUACUGGCUGGUGAACUGACCAGUGUUUAAGGCCUACGUUGAGUUUCCUUUGGAUUGCUUAUUGUACCUUGAUUUUAGUGACGUCAUACAUCUGUUUUCUGUCUGCAUUGCCAUUAAGAGUUUCUUAAUUUCCACCCUAAUGUUGAGUUGUUGUAUAGAUAAUGAUAAGCACAUUUUUACAAACUGCGAAAAUAUUACAUGGGUUGGACACUAAAUCUAAAAUCUCCAGUUAACAAAGGAUGUCGGCUGAAUUGAUAGGAUAGUCUGAGGACCAUAAACAAACAUUUGGCCUUUUCAAUGACUCACCUUAAGGCUCAGCUCUUUCUUCACCACGACAGACCGAUACAUUGACCGCAUUACUGCAGAAGCUGCACCGAUCCGUCUGUCAAUCUCCCGUUCCAUCCUUACCUCACUCGUGAACAAGACCCCUAGAAAACUCCUCCACUUGAGGCAAGCACUCUUCACCAACCUGAAGUGGGCAAGCCACCCUUUUCCGACUGAGGACCAUGGCCUCGGAUUUGGAGGUACUGAUUCUCAUCCCCACCGCUUCACACUCUGCUGCAAACCGUCCCAGCGCAUGCUGAAGGUCCUGGUUUGAAGGGGCCAACACGACAACAUCAUCCGCAAAGAUGAAAUCGUGUGGUCCCCAAACCUGACACCCUCCGGCCCCUGGCUGCGCCUAGAAAUUCUGUCCAUAAAAAUUAUGAACAGAACUGGUGACAAAGGGCAGCCCUGCCGGAGUCCAACAUGCACUGGGAACAAGUCUGACUUACUGCCGGCAAUGCGGACCAAGCUCCUACUUCGGUCGUAUAGGGCCCUGACAGCCCUUAGCAAAGGACCCAGGACCCCAUAUUCCCGAAGCACCCUCCACAGGACGCCGCGAGGGACACAGUCGAAUGCCUUCUCCAAAUCCACAAAACACAUGUGGACUGGUUGGGCAAACUCCCAUGAACCCUCCAACACCCCGUAGAGGGUAUAGAGCUGGUCCAGUGUUCCACGGCCCGGACGAAAACCACACUGUUCCUCCUGAAUCCGAGGUUAUACUAUCGGCCGUAUUCUCUCCAGAACCCUGGCAUAUCAAAAUGCUCAUUUUGAUAUGCUAAUUUGGGAGUUGUUUCAAUAUGCUUACUUCACACGAGCGACUGUGUGGUAGUCUUUUAUUUCCUUUAUGGAUGUUUAUUUUUAUAUGUGGGUGUUAUCAUUUUCACAUUUGCGACGUUUUACUGGAUGAAUGUAGAUUCCUCCCAACUAUCGAUUUUUUUUUUUUUUUCUCUUUUUUUUUUUCUCAUGUCCGUCCUGUAAUGGUUCUGCUUUCACUUGGAGUCAUUUUCCGUUGACUCUGUCGUGAAAGCAGGGCGGGAUUGUAUGAAAUGAUUAUCUAUGAUGAAAAAUCAUUAAUUCAAAGCGAAUUAAACAGGUAUUUAAAGAGUUGCGUGAAGAAUUUAGUUUUUCUGUUUCCAAAAGUUAUAGCAGAAAAUUGGCAUCUGUUAAAAUCAACAUCCCUUCACAGUGUCUAAUUGGGUUUUUUGAGAAGUUUGUUUUAUACCAAAUCUAACAUGGUUAUGGUUGAGUGGAAUACAUCUUACCAUUUUGAAAUGGUUUAGCUAAGAAAUAACUAAUUUGAUGGGAGUGUUACUGUUCAGUUUGUUUAAUAUUUGAUUAGAAGUAAUCAUAUUAAUCUCAUGCAUUAUGGAAUAAGUGGGUAAAAAUGUGCAGGGAGUUUGCUAAAUUUUGCCAUGUUUUAAUUGAUACUGAGAAAGUAAUUCUGAGAGGUACAGACCCCCUGGAGCACUCCACUCACUGACAAAAAAAACGGUUUGAGAUGGAUUUUAACUUGUUUGGACUGUUAAUGGUUAACAAAUGCUUCUGAGGUGUAAGGUUGCUUGCAAUUGUCUGGCCUCAAGAUAACACCACUCUGUCCUAUGAGAUUGGAUCUGUUCUUAGGUUAAUAGACCACCCCCCACUCCAGGGAGAGCCCUGGGGUGAUAAGACAAAAAGGGGGGGGGGUCAUGAUUUAUGUCAGGAUUAAAGAGUGUCUUUGAAGAAGAGACUUUGAGACAUUCACACUGAGUUUUCAUCUUGUGAAGAAAAUUGGCUAAAUAAGUUAGCUGACCCUCAAGAUGGUGUGACAUGUUUUGAUUUGAAAUUAGGUAUUUGAUCAUUUAUGUGAAACAAUGGUGAAUUUGAUUGUAGUUCCGAUACAACACAAUCAGAUGUAAUUUAUAUAGCAACUGUGAUCUGGUUGGAUGGUGAACUGAGAGCACCAGAGAUGUUAAUGUUUUAACAAUACUGUUAUUGAUUACAACUGUUAGGGUUGAGUGUUUGAUAGUGUUUGGUUCUAAUGUAUCAGCGAGAUACAACAAGCUAACGUAAUGGACAUAUUUGUGGUGAUGUACUGUGCAGUUGCAACUAAUCUUCUCAAGGAUAAUUCACACUUCAGGUACAGGACACUUGAAAGCGAUUCAGCAAUAGAGGGCUUACAAGGACAACUGUGAGGUGGCUGAGAUGAGAUGGAUCUCACAGACACACAGACAGACUGUCCUACAGCGGAGAGGAGUCUACUCUGGGACACUGCACGUCUAGGUGCCGCACGUCUACAGGAUGCUGGGCUCCUGUGAGCCGGACUGAUUCGAGUCCUGACGAUUCUGCAAUGUGAUGGAGAAGGCAACCACUGGCCGAGAGGAUGGAGGCGAAAGAAAGCUCCGGUUCUGGACAACGUUUACGGGGACGCGGAAAGAUCUACUGCACGACAUCAUGCUACGCUGAUUGGGUCCAUACCAGGUAACAUCUCAUCUGCUGUCCAGGUAGCUGAGAGAGGAGCCUGGGGUUGACGACACACGCUAAAGGAGGGCUUCAGUGUUUCAAGAUUAGGCACAGUGAAUUGAAGUCACUGAGGGAAAAGUGAAUUUUCUGGUGCUAGUAACCAUCACUUCCGACCCGGCCUGCAGCUAUAGAGCCCUUGGAUAAAACUGGUCAUCUUGGCAUUCACAAAGGAGAACACACGAUUCUCCUGACCUGGCUGAUGAAGCAGCUAGAAUGAAGACAACUAGAGCUGUGUCAUGGUAACCUGCAUUUGAGCUAUGAAGGACAACACCUUGGAAUAUACAUCUGACUUUUACGUUCUGUUACACCGGCCUGCCAAGAAAUGGUUCAUAACUGACUGUCUGACGUUUGGAGGAGCAGAACUUUGGAAGUACAUCUAAAUGGAACCAUGGAGAGGGCUUUUCAGUAAAUCAAGCAAUUGGCCUGAGAGGACUUUGUACCAGUGACAAAUUGAAGGAUCUAUACAGUGAUGGGUGUUUAUAUACCCACUUGUCGAUGCUACAUAUCCCAUAAUGUCAGUAUGUGUCACCUGAAAUGUUUUCCUUUGACCAAUUAUUUUAACACAAAAAGGUUUUGCUGUACUAUUAUAGUUUUGUAUAAUGAAAAUGUGUUCUCUAAGUAUAAGGGUAAUGAUAUCAUGUUGUUAAAGAGUACUGUUUUGUUGCAUCCUAAUGAGUAAACUGUUUAAGGAUUGAUACCAAGGGUUGAUUUGGUAUCAAGAGAUGGAUUGUUAUGGAAAUGUCUUGAACUGCAUUCUUAUUGAUUCAUGUAUUGAGUCCCCAUGUUUAGAUAAGAAAAGGAAUGUCGGUUGUGCUGUGGUAAAGGAAGUAUGAGGUGCUGAGGUAAACGUAAACCUAUAGCAGGAUGGGGGUAGAUACAUAACAAUGGGUUUUAGGACAGGAUUGAGGAAGAUACCUUCUGUUGUGUAAGAUGGAUAAGGAACAUGUGGUGUCUGUGGUAUGACCAUGAAGAUUCUUAAUCUCCACCCAUUUCUCUAUAAGUAUCGAAUGUAUUUUCAAAUGUUUAGAGACUCCUAGGAUGAUUGUUUGUAAGCGUUUGAAGCGUCUCUAUAUUUGCAAAUAAAUAAACUUAAUUAUGCCAAGAGAAAUGUCUCUGUACUUCCUCCUUUAAGAGUUCUGAUCAAUGAAAUUGCCAUCACAUGGCACACUUUGUAGACACUAUUUGCAAAACAUUUUCAAAAAACUCAAAGCUGUAGAUUG